rnacentral:lncRNA from 1 species
AGAAGAGGACAGUCCGCAAGGGGCGGAAGACAAGACAAAAAUGACUCCAGUUCGCUAGACGCGCAGAGGGGCGGAUAGCGCGCGGACCCCGCCUUCCCCAACCGAGUGUGGGUUCCAGUCGCUGGGGAGGACCUGGUGGCCCCCUGACCUUGGACGAGCCAUAUUGGACGCCCCGGCGCCGUCCCGUCUUCCACGCUGCCAACUCCACCGCUCCCGCCCCGAACUGCGGCCUAGGAGCCACCGCAGCGCACCCAGCCCGCGAGUACAGCCGCAUGGGAAUAAUCCCAACAUUUGCCUGAUUUAUUUUCUUCCCUCUCCUUACGCUUGUACUUGUUUUUCUCCUCUCGCUGUUUUCCCUUCACACUAAUUCGCAACCUGGCAGUUUGCAAAGAGGAAACUCCCUUUCGGAAUGGAAAGCCGCUUUUGCUUCUUGUUGUUGGGGGUGGAAAACAUUCCAGCGAGAAUGAGUUCAAAAAGAAGGGAAACCGCGUCACUGGAGAGAAAGUAACAUUAAGAGAUCGAUGAGGACGGAGUGGGUAGGGGGGACAGAGAGAGGAACGUCUGCAACAGGCAUCUAAAAACAAGCGUGGAGGAGCAAAGAUUCCCAAUCCCCGGGUUACUACCGCGCGCGUUCUGCGCGAGCCAUUGCAAUGCCAGCAUUUACUGUAAGCAGAAUUUGAAGGCUUUUGAAAUCUUUUUUUGGUAAGACUUACCUUUCUCUUCGGCAUAAUGACUAUGUCGGUGAAGCAAAAAGUAAAGCAACGGACUGGAACUGCUGGCGCCGCCGCUGGAUGCUGCCUCUGCCUCUGCAGCUGCUCACGCGCAGGGCACGACGUAGCCCGGCCUCUUCGACCUGCACCUCCGCGGCUCCCUCUGGGGGCCCUCUGCUCGCCUCCCUGCUGCUCCAAUGAGGAGCCCCGCCAGCCGGCCGCGAGGCCCCAUUGGCUGAGGCAACGUUCUAAAUUCCACGAGGGCACGCCCACCUCCGCGCGCGGUACGCGCUGUUGUAGUUUCCACUUCACCGAAAAAAAUCUGCCUGGCGACUGAGCAUGCCCAGUUCAACUAGUAGCCUCCAGGCCACACAAUCCUGAAGUUUCAUUGUUUCGCUGCUCUCUCUUUGAGAUUGUAAGAAUAAGAACAGUGUGUGUCUUCAUAGGAAGGAAAAAGAGUAAGAAUGAAUACGUAAACUUUAUAAUGUAAAUAUAUACACAGCAGGUACCUUAUUCAUUUCCUACCCAUAAAGGCUUUUAAUGAAUGUUACAUGGUGGGAAUCUGUAAAGCGUGGGAAGGUACUCUGUACUGGAAGAGCGUGGCAACUUCUAAAGGCCUCAGUUUCCCCCCCUAGAUAUAUAGUGACAACAGUCCCUAAAAUCACUUAGCUCUAAUUUUCUGAAAUCUGUGAUUAUAAAUCACUCACUAAUUCAGCUAACUUCAAACUAGAUGUGAAGACGAAUAGGACAUGUUUGUUACGGAAAUUAGGAAAAGAAAGAACAAGGCAAAAACUGAUUAUUUUAUAUUUGAGACAUAUAUUUGAAUGACACCCGUCAUGUUACACUUUAUGCGUAAUAUUUCUCAAAGUUCUGCAAGGCAUAAAAUGAGCAUUGCAAAAAUAUUUCUGAAUUCAUUUUAUGAGACCAGAUUUACUCUGAUACCAAAACCAGUGAAAGACUUCAAAAGAGAGUUACAGACCAAUAUCACUCAUAAACAUAGACACAAAAGUCGUGAACAAAAUUUUAGUAAAUGAAACUCAACAACAUUUAAAGGGACAAUACAUCAUGACCUGUGGGGCUUAUCUUGGGAAUGCAAAGCUGCUUUUUUAAUAUCUGAGAAUCAAUCAAUGUAAUUGGCAGGAUUAAUAGAAUAAAGGGGGAAAAACAAUCCUUUCAGCAGAUGCAGGAAAAGCGCUAGUGAAUGGGUAAGCAAAUUGUGAUGAGCACAUGCAGUGGAAUACUAUUCAGCAAUAAAAAACAAUAAAAAAUUUUCCUACAUGGAUGAAUAUCAAAAACAAAGUGCUGUACGAAAGAAGUCAAAUACAAAAGACCACACUGAAUGAUUGCAUUCAUAUGAAAUUAUAGAAAAAGCAAAAUUGGGCAAAGUUAGUUUCAGAAUCAUCUUAGCAGGCAAAGCUCACAUCAUAGGAAAAUGUGUUGAAGCCUUACAUUACAAAUAUGGCCAAAUCCACUUUGGUAACACAGAGGCUGCAAAUAUGUAUUAAAAAUAUCAUGUAUUAAAUAUGUAUUAAAAAAGCAAUGAAGUUUAAUAUUUCACUUUUUCUUUAGUAAUUUUCAGAAUACAUUAAUUGAUCUAGUACUCUCCAGAGGUGGUUGAUUACUUUCUUUUUUGGAACAUCUUUAUGAACUCAUGGAUUUUUACAUAUUUGGUGUGCAUCAGUGUAUUGCUAUCAUUAUUAUUACCUUUUUAAUGCUCCUAUUACCACAUCUUUAGCCAAUGCAUACCCUUUCAAAUUAGUGCUUGUGUCCUUUUGACAUGAUCUUAAUCAUUUUUGAUAGAUUCCCUGUUCUUGGGCAUUCAGUGAAUGACAAUAGUAUACUGAAACGAAUUAAGAUAAAAACCAAUUGCUUAGAGCUAGAUAAAAAUUUACAAGUUAAUAAUUUUAUCAUUAAAAUAAUAUUUAUAAUGAAGAUGUCUUUCAAGAUAUUAAUUUGCCAAAUACUUGAUAGUUAAAUAAAGAAAAAGUCAGUGAAAACAUUUUUAGUAAGAUAUGUGUGAGAAGGAUACUGAGUAGCACUUGCAAUCUGGACUGGAUGGCUAUUUUUCUUCAUGGAGAUGGAAAGGUGCCACAACAAAGGUAGUGCUAAGGUGAAUAUUUCUCCUCUGUGAUGAAAAAUAACUCACAAAAUUGGCUUCUUUGUUAAUUUUUUUUCAAAACCAAACACUCAGAUCAUCAACAGCAAACAAAAUUGUGAAUGUUUUUACUGCACACAAUAAAAAUGCUACGAUGAAA